rnacentral:lncRNA from 13 species
CCCUGUGUCUCUUGGCUCAUCAACAUAGCAGCAUAAGAAAACGCAUAUGGUCUCAUGUCAGGGUAACUACGCCAUGAAGCUAAGUGGCCUCAGAAACAGCUCUCGGCCCUAUGCUGUGACUCAUGCAUUUAUUUAAGUUACACAGUUUAUGGAGAGAUCAAUGUGUCAGGCAUAGUGAUAAGCACAGAAGCCACAAACCAGGCCUCCCAGACCUUGUCCCCGACUCUGUCCUCAGCUCUGGGUCUGACCCCUGCAGGGAACAGCCAUGUCUUCCCUUUGCUGAUAUGGACGAGACUGCUGCACACCUAGCAGAGAGUCACACCUGGUGGAAGGAAGGGGUGACGCUAUUAGAGGAUUGGAAUGUGACAAAGCAAAGGAAUACACAAGCAGUCAGCAGAAUGCAAUAUAAUGUCGAGUCCCUGGCAAUAAUUACAUGA